GAGCACCUGGGCAGAGCAAGCGGAGAGGCGCCACAUCCCCGAGAGGCGCUUCGUAGUUGUCCUUGGACCGGGCGCAGACACUCAGUAUUGCAGCGAAAAAUCCCCCUCCUGCUGCACUCCUCCGCCACCGGGCUAGGUUGAAAGGAAAAAGCCAAGAAGCGCGAAGCAGCCCGGCUCUGGAAGGCUUUGGAGAGUCCAGCUGACUUGUACACAAUUCGCGGCCUCUGGAGCCUUACCUGCCUUCUUGACUGAAUGCCACCAGUUCGUUUUACGCUUGUGGCUUUUUGUUGAAGUCCCUAUCAUAAGCAAAUGCAGUUUCUGGCUAUGGUUACUGCAAUUCGAAAUAAAAGGCCUGUGAGGUGUGUCCCUCCAGACUGAGAGGCUAUGACUCAGGGUUGGACUUUAUGGAAAAAAAGAAGUUUAUAAAACAAGUAACCCAGUUUCUCCAACCUUUACUGUGGAGCAACAGCGUCAAGCAACAAAACCCAGCAAAGUUUUGCUUGUCACUUACAAGGGUGUUACUGAAAUCUGGAAGGCGAACAAUUAGAAGAUAGCCCAAACAUGCUCUAUUGCUCUACACUGAAAUACUUGCCUCCAAUAAUAGAAAAAACCUGUUUUCGUGCAAUUGAUUGAUUAGCGUUCUGCAGCAGUCCCUGGACAAUUUUAAAGACAUUUUGUGUUUGUGGCCAAAAUUAGAAACAAGCAGACACACACACAAAACAACCAUAUUCAAGACACGGUUCGACUGUUUCCUUGACACUACCCACGAAGUUUAAAGCAUUUUUUAUGUUAUUUUCAAACUUUCUUAAGUGAUCCCAUGAAAUAAAAGUCGAUAAUAGAAAUUAAAACAACACAGAGCAAAGAACGAGCUUAGUGAAAUGGAGAA
rnacentral:lncRNA from 1 species